rnacentral:rRNA from 1 species
AUAAACAUUAAACUCCAAAACCGACAUGCACACGUGAACUUGUUAUACCACGGGGGUUAGUACCAAUGGAUAAGGUAUAAAACUCAUGCCAACACCAAAGGUAAACUCAUGGCUAGGUUGACGGAUUUUCACCGUCAACACACAUAUAAUCUAAUCUACUAAAAAGGUAGCAAGAGAAAGCAAAGAGUUAACUGAUCUAGAGAGUCUAGAUCAUGCAUAUGUUGUAGCUUCAAACAAGAUAGAUGAAGAUAGAAAAGCGAAUCUCAUUAAAAGCAUCUUUAAAUCGUGGCCUCCUAUCCGAUUUCGAAGACGCCCGCCUUUUAGAGCCACCAUUCUAUCACAACGCACCCCUUAUCGUGCGGGUUAGCCUAGGGCGAGUUCGAUAAGAACAAGUUGAAAUCACUUGGUUGGUCUGGUAUGCACCUCUAGCCACCGCAGCUACAAGAGCACCCUAUGCAAUCUAUCUUGAGUAUAGAUUGGGAAGAAGCAAAACCAAGGGAGAAAAAAAUCAUCGAGAAGGCACUUGAUCGCUAGAAAUCGGAUUCGCUAUAAACUUCACCAUGAAUGAUUACAUGAACAAGAUCACCACCGGGAUCCUACCUCGAUCUUGAUCCUUCCUCCGGAGCUCUGACAUGGUCUUCCAUGCAAGGUUCCCACGUCAGCUAGGGAGACCCUAGACAACUAGCAUGACCCUCCUCACCGAGAUGGUCUCCCUCAAGCUUCUCUACUCCUCGGCGGCGGAUGAUGAAUUGAUUCCUCCAUGGCUCUCGAUCAGGGGGCUAUAAAUAGCCCGAGAGGUAGCUAUGUCAAAGGGGGGCCGACUGGGCCUCGAAGUGGGCUGGGUCGGCCAGCCUGGGCCGGUCGGCCUGGGCCCACUUCGGCCCAGUUAGCCGCCUCCUUCGCCCGGUGUUGGUUCCUGAGUCUUCUAGAUCCUUCCCCCUUCUGCAUGUGGGUGCAGAUCUUGGUGGUAGUAGCAAAUAUUCAAAAGAGAACUUUCAAGGCCGAAGAGGAGAAAGGUUCCAUGUAACUGCACUUGCACAUGGGUAAGCUGAUCCUAAGGGAUGGGGUAACCCCGGCAGACAGCGCGAUCACGCGUGUUGCCCGAAAGGGAAUCGGGUUAAGAUUUCCCGAGCCGGGACGAGGCAGUUGACGGUAAUGUUAGGAAGUCCGAAGACAUCGGCGGGGGCCUCGGGAAGAGUUAUCUUUUCUGCUUAACGGCCUGCCAACCCUAGAAACGGUUCAGCCUGAGGUAGGAUCCAGCGGUCGGAACAGCAACGCACGUCGCGCGGUGUCCGGUGCGCCCCCGGCGGCCCAUGAAAAUCCGGAGGACCGAGUACCGUCCACACCCGGCCGUACUCAUAACCGCAUCAGGUCUCCAAGGUGAACAGCCUCUGGCCAAUGGAACAAUGUAGGCAAGGGAAGUCGGCAAAACGGAUCCGUAACUUCGGGAAAAGGAUUGGCUCUGAGGGUUGGGCUCGGGGGUCCCGGCCCCGAACCCGUCGGCUGCCGGCGGACUGCUCGAGCUGCUCACGCGGCGAGAGCGGGCCGUGUCUCUCAGAAAAUGAUACCUCACUUCUAUGUGCUUGGUUUUGGAAUGAAGCACUGGGUUCUUUGCAAUGCUUAUGGCACUCGAGCUGCUCACGCGGCGAGAGCGGGCCGCCGCGUGCCGGCCAGGGGACAGACCGGGAACGGUUCCUUUGGGAGCCUUCCCCGAGCGUCGAACAACCGACUCAGGACUGGUACGGACAAGGGGAAUCGGACUGUUUAAUUAAAACAAAACAUUGUGAUGGUCCUUGCGGAUGCUGACGCAAUGUGAUUUCUGCCCAGUCUCUAAAUGUCAAAGUGAAGAAAUUCAACCAAGCACGGGUAAACGGCGGGAGUAACUAUGACUCUCUUAAGGUAGCCAAAUGCCUCGUCAUCUAAUUAGUGACGCGCAUGAAUGGGUUAACGAGAUUCCCACUAUCCCUGUCUACUAUCAAGCGAAACCACAGCCAAGGGAACGGGCUUGGCAGAAUCAGCGGGGAAAGAAGACCCUGUUGAGCUUGACUCUAGUCCGACUUUGUGUAAUGACUUGAGAGGUGUAGGAUAAGUGGGAGCUUUCAGGCGCAAGUGAAAUACCACUACUUUUAAUGUUAUUUUACUUAUUCCGUGAGUCGGAAGCGGGGCAUCGCUCCUCUUUUUGGCUCCAAGGCUGUUGACGGUGAAAAUCUGUCAACCUAGCUAUGAGUUUACUUUCGGUGUUGGCAUAAGUUUUAUACCUUAUCCAUUGGUACUAACCCCCGUGGUAUAACAAGUUCACUUGUGCAUGUCGGUUUUGGAGUUUAGUGUUUAUGCAGGGUUUUAGCGUUGAAAGCAAGACUUUCGGGAUAAGUUCAUUAAGCACCUCAUGACAAGACCUUGAAGCCCGGUACAAGUCAAGCAAUGAAGUGAACACGACUCCAAGAAGCCCAAGGACCAAGCCCGAGAAGAUGN